GAGGCUGAUACUAUUAGAUGCCACCUAAUAUCCAUUACUACUUCUUUCUUAUUAAGAAACUUGAUAUUCUUCAGAGCACCGUCAGUCCAGAUGUCGAAGCACAAAAACAUCUAUACAUCUAUAAAAAAAAACCAAGCACACUGCAGGGAAGAAUAUUUUCAACAUACCUGACAGAAAUAAUGUUAAUGCCUUUAAAAUAUGAAGGUGUGUAUAAAUUGAUGAGAAAACCAUCAUGACGCCAACAGAUAAAUGGGACAAAUAUACAAAACGCCAUUCACUUGAGGAGAGGCACCAGAGAAUCAAGGGACUGACCUGAGGCUGCCCAGAGCUGAGUCCAAAGAUUUAAUGCUGGAGACCACGUUUUUCAUCACUGUGCCAUCUCCG